AUCUUCAGGGCAGGGUGCGAUUCCCGACCGGCGGUAUAGUCCGCGAGCCUUCGGGCCGAUUCGGUGCGAUUCCGAAACCGACAGUAAAAGUCUGGAUGAAAGAAGAU
rnacentral:ncRNA from 1 species